AAAUUUAUUAUAUUGAAACAACACAAGAAUACUAAACACAGUGUAAAGAGUAAACGUUGUUGUCUAGUAGAAAAGCUUGCAAGUAAUCUCUGGUAUGAGUAUAAUAUAAUUAAAAAAGAUUGUUAGAAAAAGUUUACAUAAUGCAUUAGACAGACAUAUAAGAAAUGGAGUUGAUGGGGAUGAUAAUGAUAAUGAUAAUGUCAUGGUGCAGGUGCAGGAGCAACCGGCAUCGCGGAUUUUGAAUUGGUAUUUGGCUUGGGGCAUCCAUAGUCAUCACAUCCACCUCCCUGUCACACCAUCAUAUUUAUAAAUUUUACAGUACUCAUUGCAUGAGAACAGAAAACCAAGAAGAAGAAAUGAUUUAAUGAACCUCAGAAACAACGACGACAGCAGGUUCAUAGUCUUGACCUUGGACAUUCUCCAUCAGUUUUCUGUUAAAACCUACAUAUUCAGACAAGGUGAGUUUAUUAGCAGAAUGAAAAGUAUUAGUGAAGUAGAAAAUGAUAUGAAUAAUAUUACCAUGUGAAGAGGAGGAGAGUAGAACAAGAGCUGUUAGAAGACAGGCCAACUGUAAACAAUUACAACUCAUGUUGCUCUAACUGUGUGCUUCUAUAGAUCAGUUCUUUAAGAAGUCUGGAUACAUGAACAACUUGUAUGGAAGAGAGUUUUACAGAGAGAGAGUAUGGAAUGGAAGGGUGGUCCAAUUUGUGAUAUGAAAUUGGGUUGGACUCCAGAGGAAUUUAAGUAAGAUUUAAGCUGGCAUUACAUGGUUUACUUUUAUUUUAUGUAUCAGGGUCAAUAAAGAUUUUGAGAGAAUCUUGGAUCGUGUUUCUACGCUUCUACCUCUUUAUUUCGUGUAACUAUCUAAAUCGUAAUCUGGGAUGCAAUAUUUUUUUUAAAGAAAUUUUGGAGUUAGU
rnacentral:lncRNA from 1 species